UGCAUUCACUACUGUAAAUCGCUCUGGAUAAGAGCGUCUGCUAAAUGACUAAAA
rfam:Salmo salar isolate Sally breed double haploid chromosome ssa16, whole genome shotgun sequence.